rnacentral:rRNA from 1 species
GACGUAGGGCGCGAGCGUUGUCCGGAUUUAUUGGGCGUAAAGAGCUCGUAGGCGGCUUGGCAAGUCGGGUGUGAAAACUCCAGGCUCAACCUGGAGACGCCACUCGAGACUGCUAUGGCUAGAGUCCGGUAGGGGACCACGGAAUUCCUGGUGUAGCGGUGAAAUGCGCAGAUAUCAGGAAGAACACCCGUGGCGAAGGCGGUUCUCUGGGACGGUACUGACGCUGAGACGCGAAAGCGUGGGGAGCGAACAGG